UCCGGUUGAUCCUGCCGGAGGCCACUGCUAUCCGGGUCCGACUAAGCCAUGCGAGUCGAGGGCAGUUCGGCUGCCCGGCGGACGGCUCAGUAACACGUGGGCAACCUACCCUCGGGUCGGGGAUAACCCCGGGAAACUGGGGCUAAUACCCGAUAGGCCAGGGAACCUGGAAUGGUCCCUGGUCGAAAGCUCCGGCGCCCGAGGAUGGGCCUGCGGCCGAUUAGGUAGUUGGUGGGGUAACGGCCCACCAAGCCGACGAUCGGUACGGGCCAUGAGAGUGGGAGCCCGGAGAUGGACCCUGAGACAAGGGUCCAGGCCCUACGGGGCGCAGCAGGCGCGAAACCUCCGCAAUGCGCGCAAGCGCGACGGGGGGACCCGGAGUGCCCUUGCAUAAGCAAGGGCUGUUCCCCAGUCUAAAAAGCUGGGGGAGUAAGGGCUGGGUAAGUCCGGUGGCAGCCGCCGCGGUAAGACCGGCAGCCCGAGUGGUGGCCACCAUUAUUGGGCCUAAAGCGUCCGUAGCCGGGCCUGCAAGUCCCUGGCGAAAUCCCACGGCUUAACCGUGGGGCUUGCUGGGGAAACUGCAGGCCUUGGGACCGGGAGAGGCCGGAGGUACUCUCGGGGUAGGGGUGAAAUCCUGUAAUCCCGAGGGGACCGCCAGUGGCGAAGGCGUCCGGCUGGAACGGGUCCGACGGUGAGGGGCGAAGGCCAGGGGAGCGAACCGGAUUAGAUACCCGGGUAGUCCUGGCUGUAAAGGAUGCGGGCUAGGUGUUGCGCGUCCUUAGAGGGCGCGCAGUGCCGUAGGGAAGCCGUUAAGCCCGCCGCCUGGGGAGUACGGCCGCAAGGCUGAAACUUAAAGGAAUUGGCGGGGGAGCACUACAAGGGGUGGAGCGUGCGGUUUAAUUGGAUUCAACGCCAGGCAUCUCACCGGGGGAGACAGCUGGAUGAAGGCCAAGCUGACGACUUUGCCGGACUAGCUGAGAGGUGGUGCAUGGCCGCCGUCAGCUCGUACCGUGAGGCGUCCUGUUAAGUCAGGUAACGAGCGAGACCCCCGCCCGCAGUUGCCAGCGGCUCCCUUCGGGGAGGCCGGGGACUCUGCGGGGACCGCCGCCGAUAAGGCGGAGGAAGGUGGGGGCGACGGUAGGUCCGUAUGCCCCGAAUCCCCCGGGCUACACGCGCGCUACAAUGGCCGGGACAGAGGGUUCCGACCCCGAAAGGGGAAGGGAAACCCUAAACCCGGUCUAAGUUCGGAUCGAGGGCUGUAACUCGCCCUCGUGAAGGUGGAAUCCCUAGUAACCGCACGUCACCAUCGUGCGGUGAAUACGUCCCUGCUCCUUGCACACACCGCCCGUCAACCCACCCAAGUCGGGCCUGGGCGAGCCCCUCUCCAGUGGGGAGGGUCGAGCCUGGGCUCGGCGAGGGGGGGUAAGUCGUAACAAGGUAGCC
rnacentral:rRNA from 1 species